rnacentral:rRNA from 1 species
UACGGAGGAUCCAAGCGUUAUCCGGAAUCAUUGGGUUUAAAGGGUCCGUAGGCGGCUUUAUAAGUCAGUGGUGAAAUCUCCCGGCUCAACCGGGAAAUGGCCAUUGAUACUGUAGGGCUUGAAUUACCAGGAAGUAACUAGAAUAUGUAGUGUAGCGGUGAAAUGCUUAGAUAUUACAUGGAAUACCGAUUGCGAAGGCAGGUUACUACUGGUGGAUUGACGCUGAUGGACGAAAGCGUGGGUAGCGAACAGG